CCAUCACCACUAUAUAUAUAAGUCUCCAUCAUUGUACAUAGGAUCAUCUCCUCUUUGGCACCCUCUCCUCCACGAUUAUGGUAAUCUCAUACAGGUUGACGACCUCAAGGAGAGUGAUGGCGUCGCCACCAUUUCCUGUCAUCCCUCGUCCCAUCACCCCCCAAUUAACAGGCAUGAAAAAAUUGAGCUGCUUGUACGCCAGUUUGCCAACACCGCUGAAUUUUGUUUGUCGUUCAUGAGGUUUAUUCUAUACACAGGAACUUGACAUUUCGUCGCGUCCAGAUGGAGCAUAUAUACCAGAAUUGUUGGACCAUUCGUGCAAUGGUCCAAUGGAAGGCACAAAUCAAAGAGAAUUCCAUGGGAAACAUAUACCUUCAAUGCAUACUACUGGAUCAGGAAGGGACAAAAAUGGAAGCCAUUGCGUUCAACAAUCAAGUUGUUCGUUUCAACACCAUUCUUCAAACCGACAUGUCCUAUGAAUUCACUCGUGUAGGAUUUAACCCCACUGAAAUGGCAGUUGUACAUUUCUUGUAUCUAGACAUGGAGUUUAUCAUGACACUAGAUAGUAGGACUGUGGUUAUGAUUUCGGCGCACAGGAUAUCAACGACAAUUUGUCCAUUGUGUUUCCCACAAUUUGGGGCCAUCUACUCACUACAAGACAAACGCAUAACUGGUGCAUUUUUU